ensembl:lncRNA ZNF8-DT ZNF8 divergent transcript
GGCCAAUGGGAGCACUCAGCUAAGGCUGGUGGGGGCGGUGUUGCUCGGGGCUGCGAUGCCCCUUAGGUUGCGGGCAACCAGAGGCCUCACUCGUGGGCAGGAAGCAAGGGCGGACCCCGAGAGAUGACUGAUUGUGGGGGUGGGGACCGUCUGCUCCUCCUAAUGGCUGGGGACCGUGCACGUCUGCGCGGGCCGGACCUGCUCUUCUCGGGAACUUGCGCGGGAGGAGGCCCGGAGCUGCGCCGCUUUACCCUCUGCUCCCCGGUGCCUAAAACGCACACGCAUCAAAGUCACAGGACGAGUUAGAGGAGAAAGGCAGAGGGAGAUUUGAAACACAGAGGAGGUGAUGAGAAGACACAGCAGAAGAUAUCUGAAGACUGGAAAGAAUGCUGCAACCAACAGGAGAAGGAAAAGACAGAAAUGUGUUUUCCAUUUGGAGCAUCCAGAGGGAGCACAACCAUAUCAACACCUUGAUUUUGAUCCAGUGACAUUGAUUUUGGACUUGUGGCCUCCAGAACUUUUAGAGAAUAAAUUUGCAUUGUUUUAAGCCAACAGGUUGGUGGAAAUUUUUUACAGCAGCCACAGGAAGCAAACACAGACUCCUAACUGGUGCUUAGUCCUAGAAUAUCAGUUUCUGUUCCACUUCUGGAUCUCAUAAUUGCAUCUCAGACAUCAACACUGACUUCAUAUUCUUAAUGCACCAAUUCUACCAUUUCUUCAGGCUGCAAACAGAGAAAAACUUAUUUAAGCAUUCCAGAAUUGACCCAAUAGAAGACUCUCCAGAAAAGACUGCAUGGUCUCUGAAGCAGCAUGAUCAGCAUGACUGGCUGCAUCUGGGCUCCACCGUUUGCCACUUCAGACAGGUCCUUAGCCUCUUAGAGGUUCAUUUUCCUUGCUGUAGCCCGGAGUAAGAAUGUUUAGCCUACAAGAUUUAUUUUGAGGCAUCAAUGAAUCACUAUGUGAGCCUCACACAGUGUCUGGCACUGAUAUUACAAAAUAUGGUUGAUCUUGCCAUCCUUGUUAUUGUCCUGGUGGGGAUUCCUCUCUGUUGAAGAUACGGAGCCUCUAAAAAUGAGUGGCAGAGGCUCCCAGCUCAGGAUCCUUGUCCAGGUCCUAAAGAUCCUCCACUCUGCUUGUCACUCUGUUCAUUAUGUUUGCAUGGCCACCACGGUCAACACUACUGCGGCCUACCUCAAGUUCUCAUGCCUCACUCUCUGAGCUCAUGAGGACACAAGGAUCCUUUGGCAACACAUUAACUACACUCUGUGGCCAUCCCUUGACUUCUGAGAGGAUGUUUCCCUCCUCUCAAUCAAAAGCUCUCUUCCCUCCUGGGCAAGAUCCUUGCAUGCACCCAGCACCCUCACACCUGGUGCCCUCACACCCAGCACUCUCACACGUGGUGCCCUCACACCCAGCACCCUCACACCCAGCACCCUCACACCUGGUGCCCUCACACCCAGCACCCUCACACCUGGUGCCCUCACACCCAGCACCCUCACACCUGGUGCCCUCGCACCCAGCACCCUCACACCUGGUGCCCUCGCACCCAGCACCCUCACACCUGGUGCCCUCGCAACCAGCACCCUCACACCUGGUGCCCUCACACCCAGUGCCCUCACACCCAGCACUCUCACACUUGCACUGUCCUCAUCCCAACUCUGUGGUUCCUCUGGGGAAUCACUGUGGAAUCCCUCAUGGGAGGAUGUUUUCAAAAGAAACAACAGCCCAAUGAAGGGUAUUUGAGGAUGAGAAGCAGGAAAGAAGUCAGUGGGUGGCUGAGUUGUGUCCAGGUUUUGCGUGGCCAUGGAAAAUCAGGUGAAGGACAUUAAAUAUCUUGCAGUGGCUUCUCCAUUAGGAGCAUGAAAUGAGGAAAGGGGCUGUCCUCACAGGCCAGCCAAGAGGGAUGCCUAUGCCAAACAGAAAGACUGACAGUAAACAGAAUCCAGGAUGACAUGACUGAGGUAUGGUGUGCAGGGCAUGGCCCAGGGAGGAGGGUAGAUAAGUAAGCCUGGGUGCACCUUCAGAGGAAGAAAUAACAGAGGCUGCAGGCGAGAGAGUUACAAGGAAGGAGGAGCAGGAAGACACGAGAAAAAUUCAGAUAAACUCAACAUCUCCAGCCUGGGGGAAACGUGAGAGGGUGGUAUGAAGAUACACACGAUGCAUGUUGCUUAGUGAAAGCAGCCAGUCGGAAAAGGCUACGUAGUGAAUGACCCCAACUAUGACAUUCUGAAAAAGGCAAAACUAUGGAGACAGGAUAAAGAUCAGUGGUUGCCAGUGAGGCAGGAGAAUAGGGUCUGGGGGCAGGGAGCCUAAGGCUGAUUCAUGCUGACUUCAUGAACGGAAUCAAAAGGAAAACCCUAAAUUUCCAUGCCCACGUAACAAAAGGAUCAGAGGCUACUCCCUUUGCAACUCCCCCCAACUUUCUGUGUUGCAGAUGAAAAAUGGAAAGUGCCUCGGAUUGGUCCCCUCCUGCAACCAGUCAGACAUCUGCAUAGAGCGUAACUUUGUAACUUCACUUCAGCCUCUGCUUGGUCACCUUCCACAACCAAUCAGACUGGUCAUGGGCCACUAUUUCAUAGGGUGUAAACCAAGUGACCAAUGGGAAACAUCUAGAGGGUAUUUAAACCCCAGAAAAUUCUGCGACCAGUGCUUUUGAGCCUUGCUUGGGCCUGCUCCCACUCUGUGAAGUGCAUUUUUGUUUCAAUACAGCUAUGCUUUUGUUGCUUCUUU